AUUGAACGCUGGCGGCAUGCCUUACACAUGCAAGUCGAACGGCAGCACGGGUGCUUGCACCUGGUGGCGAGUGGCGAACGGGUGAGUAAUACAUCGGAACAUGUCCUGUAGUGGGGGAUAGCCCGGCGAAAGCCGGAUUAAUACCGCAUACGAUCUACGGAUGACAGCGGGGGACCUUCGGGCCUCGCGCUAUAGGGUUGGCCGAUGGCUGAUUAGCUAGUUGGUGGGGUAAAGGCCUACCAAGGCGACGAUCAGUAGCUGGUCUGAGAGGACGACCAGCCACACUGGGACUGAGACACGGCCCAGACUCCUACGGGAGGCAGCAGUGGGGAAUUUUGGACAAUGGGCGAUAGCCUGAUCCAGCAAUGCCGCGUGUGUGAAGAAGGCCUUCGGGUUGUAAAGCACUUUUGUCCGGAAAGAAAUCCUUGGCCCUAAUACGGUCGGGGGAUGACGGUACCGGAAGAAUAAGCACCGGCUAACUACGUG
rnacentral:rRNA from 1 species